rnacentral:rRNA from 1 species
UACGAAGGGGGCUAGCGUUGCUGGGAAUCACUGGGCGUAAAGGGCGCGUAGGCGGACUUUUAAGUCGGGGGUGAAAGCCCAGGGCUCAACCCUGGAAUUGCCUUCGAUACUGAGGGUCUUGAGUUCGGAAGAGGUUGGUGGAACUGCGAGUGUAGAGGUGAAAUUCGUAGAUAUUCGCAAGAACACCAGUGGCGAAGGCGGCCAACUGGUCCGUGACUGACGCUGAGGCGCGAAAGCGUGGGGAGCAAACAGG